GCGAGUGUAGCUCAGUGGUAGAGCACAACCUUGCCAAGGUUGUGGCCGCGCGUUCAAAUCGCGUCACUCGCU
rnacentral:tRNA from 1 species